GACGAACGCUGGCGGCGUGCUUAACACAUGCAAGUCGAACGGAAAGGCCCUGCUUUUGUGGGGUGCUCGAGUGGCGAACGGGUGAGUAACACGUGAGUAACCUGCCCUUGACUUUGGGAUAACUUCAGGAAACUGGGGCUAAUACCGGAUAGGAGCUCCUGCUGCAUGGUGGGGGUUGGAAAGUUUCGGCGGUUGGGGAUGGACUCGCGGUUUAUCAGCUUGUUGGUGGGGUAGGGGCUUACCAAGGCUUUGACGGGUAGCCGGCCUGAGAGGGUGACCGGCCACAUUGGGACUGCGAUACGGACCAGUCUCCUACGGGAGGCAGCAGUGGGGAAUAUUGCACAAUGGGGGGAAGCCUGAUGCAGCAACGCCGCGUGCGGGAUGACGGCCUUCGGGUUGUAAACCGCUUUCGCCUGUGCCGAAGCGUGAGUGACGGUAAUGGGUCAAGAAGCACCGGCUAACUACGUG
rnacentral:rRNA from 1 species